GGGCUAGUAGCUCAGCUAGGCAGAGCAGCAGGCUUUUAACCUGAUGGCCGCCGGUUCAAAUCCGGCUUAGCCCGCCA
rnacentral:tRNA from 1 species